GCCUUGUGCAGGAGGGCAUGGAACUUAUCAGCACGCCAAUAAGGGGAGAAGUGGUGUUCACUUGUGGUGGGCGCUGUGGUGUAGCAGGUGUUGGAACCAGUCCCGAGGUGAGGGAUGGCCAAGGAAUGGACCGGGGACUCCUUCCCUUCCCCAGUGUCUUAGGCAGAGGCAGCCGACACACACACACACACACACACACACACACACACACACACACACACAGAGUCGGGGCAGCCACCAUACUCCUUUGAACAAGAAAGACACAGGACUCAUGCAGGUGGGAAGCGUCUCAGGGAUCCCACGAGGAAAAGCAGAAUGCCUGAGCGCCCAGGCCAGGCAGCGUGGGAUCGGGGAAACGGAUGCCCUUCCCGACCUCACACGUGCUCUCCAUCUCCACACUCAGGGGAGCUGCCCUGCGCGCACGCCUUCUGCUGAGGUUCCUGCUCCUGGGCACCAGAGGACCUCCGAGGGCUGCAGGCCUGUGUCCUCCCUCCCGACGAGCUGCGGGCCUGUGGACGGUUCAGGACGGGCGAGUGGCCAGUGCAGCCCCGGUCAGCUCCUGUGCCGCAUCCCCCCUGGUGGCGCCAGGCCAUUGCUGCAAGCCUCGUGUCCUGAGAGCCCGCUCCACAUGUGUGGACGGGUGAGCGCGGAGGAGUUGGCCUGGCGUGCCUGCCUUCAGCUGUGCCUGCCUGGCUCCUGAGGACCAGAAGCGCUGUGGAAUCCUGCGAGCCUUGAGUCCUCCCAGUGAGCCCUGUCUGGUGUGUGAUUAAGGGUGGUAAGCGUUUCCUUCUGCAGCCUGUAGGUGUCUUUGUGUGGCUCCCUCCCCACUGUCCCUUGUGUGGCUCAAAAUGG
rnacentral:lncRNA from 1 species